GGGCUCAGUAAACCAGUUUUAAUUUACUAGAGUUGACACGUUACGUACGUGGAUACCUGUGGUAAUUCUAGAGCUAAUACAUGCAAUUAAGUCCGGACCAGAAAUGGAAAGGAUGCUUUUAUUAGAUCAAAACCAUUCGCCCAACUUGUUUGGGCGUUGUUUUGGUGAAUCUAGAUAACACUUGAGAUCGUACAGUCAUCGUACUGACGACAUCUCUUUCAAACGCCUGACUUAUCAGCUGUCGAUGGUAGACUCUGUGUCUACCAUGGCCCUCACGGGUAACGGGGAAUCAGGGUUCGAUUCCGGAGAGGGAGCCUGAGAAACGGCUACCACAUCCAAGGAAGGCAGCAGGCACGCAAAUUACCCACUCCCGGCACGGGGAGGUAGUGACAAAAAAUAACGAUACGGGACUCUAUUGAGGCCCCGUAAUCGGAAUGAGUACACUUUAAAUCCUUUAACAAGGAUCCAUUGGAGGGCAAGUCUGGUGCCAGCAGCCGCGGUAAUUCCAGCUCCAAUAGCGUAUAUUAAAGUUGUUGCGGUUAAAAAGCUCGUAGUUGGUUCUGCGUGCCGCGCUGUCGGUUCGCCGCCUGUCGGUGUAACUGGCAUGUCGCGGCAUGUCCUGUCGGUGGUGAACGUUGCCCACGGUGCUGCUAAGGCUUUUAUAGUCUAAGUUUGUUCCGUGAGUGUUGGCGUUUGCCGAUCUCUCCUACUCCGGUGCUCUUAAACGAGUGUCGAGGUAGGCCGACACGUUCACUUUGAACAAAUUAGAGUGCUUAAAGCAGGCUGAAAUAUCUGCCUGAAUAGUGGUGCAUGGAAUGAUAAAAUAGGACCUCGGUUCUAUUUUGUUGGUUUUAGGAAUAUGAGGUAAUGAUCAAUGUGGACUGGCGGGGGCAUUCGUAUUGCGACGUUAGAGGUGAAAUUCUUGGAUCGUCGCAAGACGCACUAGAGCGAAAGCAUUUGCCAAGUAUGUCUUAAUUGAUCAAGAACGAAAGUUAGAGGUUCGAAGGCGAUCAGAUACCGCCCUAGUUCUAACCAUAAACGAUGCCAGCCAGCGAUCCGCCGAUGUUCCUAUAAUGACUCGGCGGGGAGCUUCUACUCGGGAAACCAAAGCUUUUGGGUUCCGGGGGAAGUAUGGUUGCAAAGCUGAAACUUAAAGGAAUUGACGGAAGGGCACCACCAGGAGUGGAGCCUGCGGCUUAAUUUGACUCAACACGGGAAACCUCACCAGGCCAGGACAUUGGAAGGAUUGACAGAUUGAUAGCUCUUUCUUGAUUCAG
rnacentral:rRNA from 1 species